UCCGUAGGUGAACCUGCGGAAGGAUCAUUAAAAUAAUACUUACACUUUGCAUUUGCGAACAAAAAAAAGAACAUUACACUUCUAAUAUAUUUAUCAAAACUUUCAACAACGGAUCUCUUGGUUCUCGCAUCGAUGAAGAACGCAGCGAAUUGCGAUACGUAGUAUGACUUGCAGACGUGAAUCAUCGAAUCUUUGAACGCACAUUGCGCCUCGAGGCAUUCCUCGAGGCAUGCCUGUUUGAGCGUCGCAUCCCCUCUAACCCCCGGUUAGGCGUUGCUCCGAAAUAUCAACCGCGCUGUCAAACACGUUUACAGCACGACAUUUCGCCCUCAAAUCAGGUAGGACUACCCGCUGAACUUAAGCAUAUCAAUAAGCGGAGGAAAAGA
rnacentral:misc_RNA from 1 species